rnacentral:rRNA from 1 species
GACAGAAAAUGCGAACGUUGCUCGGAAUGACUGGGCGUAAAGCGCAUAUAAACGGCCGCACACGUCGGGUGUGAAAACCCGAAGCUCAACCCCGGGCAUGCAUUCGAUACGACGCGGCUGGAGGCCUGUAGAGGAGAGCGGAAUUCCCGGUGUAGAGGUGAAAUUCGUAGAUAUCGGGAGGAACACCAGUGGCGCAGGCGGCUCUCUGGACAGGUUCUGACGCUGAGACGCGAAAGCGUGGGUAGCAAACAGG